rnacentral:ncRNA from 2 species
AUGGUGUCUGACGCAGCUGGUUCGGCCGAUCCUCAGGGGCGGCCGAGGAAAGAGGGAACCCGGUGUGAGUCCGGGACUGCCCCGCAGCGGUGAGUGGGAACGACCGCCGUCGUACACACUGGGUGCCCGCGUCGCGCACGCGCAGCCUGGGAAGUGACGGCCAGUAGAUUCCGGGGUUUUCCGGCUUCGUCCGGAUCCGGGUGCCCGCGAGUCCGAAGACCUGCCAGCGGUGCCGCGUCCGU